rnacentral:rRNA from 1 species
UACGGAGGUGGCAGGCGUUACUCGGAUUGAUUGGGUGUAAAGGGUGUGUAGGUGGUGAAUUAAGUCGAAUGUGAAAGCCCUUGGCUUAACCAAGGAAAUGCAUUCGAAACUGAUUUGCUUGAGCAAUGGAGAGGUAGGCGGAAUUCCCGGUGUAACAGUGAAAUGUGUAGAUAUCGGGAGGAACACCAGUGGCGAAGGCGGCUUACUGGCCAUCUGCUGACACUGAAACACGAGAGCUAGGGGAGCAAACAGG